UCCGAUAUGGUGUAGUGGCCAACAUGAUGCCCUCUCAUUCGUUGAAAGGUUAGGCAUAGCCCCGAGUUCGAUUCUCGGUUUCGGAA
rnacentral:tRNA from 1 species